rnacentral:rRNA from 1 species
ACUCAAAUGAAUAGACGGGGGCCCGCACAAGCGGCGGAGCAUGUUGCUUAAUUCGACGCAACGCGAAGAACCUUACCAAGGUUUGACAUCACCCGGAAACAUCCAGAGAUGGGUGCCUCUUCGGACUGGGUGACAGGUGGUGCAUGGCUGUCGUCAGCUCGUGUCGUGAGAUGUUGGGUUAAGUCCCGCAACGAGCGCAACCCUUGUUCCAUGUUGCCAGCACGCUCUUCGGGGUGGUGGGGACUCAUGGGAGACUGCCGGGGUCAACUCGGAGGAAGGUGGGGAUGACGUCAAGUCAUCAUGCCCCUUAUGUCUUGGGCUGCAAACAUGCUACAAUGGUCGGUACAGAGGGUUGCGAUGCCGUGAGGUGGAGCGAAUCCCUAAAAGCCGAUCUCAGUUCGGAUUGGGGUCUGCAACUCGACCCCAUGAAGUCGGAGUCGCUAGUAAUCGCAGAUCAGCAACGCUGCGGUGAAUACGUUCCCGGGCCUUGUACACACCGCCCGU